CAGCCCUGUAGGAGACACCUCCAGAGAAAGUAACAGCUCUCAAUUGAUUAGCUGAGAAGCCUCAGGGGCUGGAUCCUGACAUGAACCAGACACCUCCAGAAUUCUAUCCCAAGCAAAAGAUUAUUUCAAGGCCAGAACUCACUCCCUGCUGGAGACUGACUACAAGAUCCACUGAGAUUGAUGUGUAACCUGAUUGGGCCCACAGUGAUGCUAGCCCCUUCACCAGAUGGAACAAUAAUUCCAGACAAGCCAUCAGAGCAGAGAGCAGAGAAGAGGAGAAGCAGCUGGAUGUCAGAGACUGCAGUUUGACGUUGGAGAAAAGCAGCUUGACUUCAGAGGGACAGCUUGACAGCAUGGAUUCAGAGAGGAGAAGAUCACCUUCCUGCUCCGUCCCCUUUCCAGCUCCCUUUCCCACUGAGAGCCACUUACACAGGCAAUAAAAUCCUCUGCAUUCACCACCCUUCAAU
ensembl:lncRNA novel transcript